GACAGAAGGUGCAAACGUUGUUCGGAAUUACUGAACGUAAAGCGCGUGUAGGCGGCUAAGUAAGUCGGACGUGAAAUCCCACGGCUCAACCGUGGAAGUGCACUCGAAACUGCAUAGCUAGAGUCCUGGAGAGGAAGGUGGAAUGCUUGGUGUAGAGGUGAAAUUCGUAGAUAUCAAGCGGAACACCGGUGGCGAAGACAGCCUUCUGGACAGUGACUGACGCUGAGACGCGAAAGCGUGAAGAGCAAACAGG
rnacentral:rRNA from 1 species